AGUUAGUUUCCUGUGUGCGGGUCUCUGGCCUUUGCCUGCAGCUCCAGGAGCCUCAGAGCGCUGCCCUGUGUGGAGUGAGGCGUUUGAACACAGUCUCAAUACACAGCACAGCAAGCAACUGGAUCCCUUCUCUCUCGCUUCUCUGCUUCUUCAGUUUUACAGUGGAAUGAAUGCCUUGUGUGAGGAAACUGUCAUGUGCUCUGUCAACUCACUGAAGCUGGCUCCAGAGAUAAGUGAAGCUACUAUCCCUCAUCUCAGACUCUUCUCUUUACAAAAAAUGUGGAGACCAUCACAGGAAACCACAACUGGACACAAUGCGGAAAUAAACCAGUGGGUCAUGGGGAGACCAGUACCAACGGAUACAUCUACAUCACAGCUGUGUCUCUGAACAGGUACCAAUAUGGAAGCGAGGUUGUGAAAGCUAAAAUACCAGGAAGUUUGCUCUGCAACAGUUUCUCCUAAAAAUGACUAUAUAAACAAGACCGGGACAAUGGCAGUAUCAAUGGACAUGUUGAUGUAGAACACCCCUAGACAAAGGACUCCAGGCACCUAAUGACUGCUGAGAGGAGAAUUAGUUUCUCCCAGGGUUGAACCCCUUAUUCAAUGUCUAAUGCAGAGUGGUCAGCCCUGAAACUGUAUACACACAAAUAGCAAAAAUAUAUUCUACAAGUUGUGUCUUAGAGUUUUUAUUGCUGUGAAGAAACACCAUGACCAUGAUGACUCUUAUAAAGGAAAACAUUUAACUGGGUGGCUUACAGUUUCAGAGUUUAUCAUCAUGAGGAGAUUGGUGGCAUGUAGGCAGACAUAGUGUUGGAGAGGUAGCUGAUAGUUCAGCAUCUUGUGUAGGCAACAGGAAGUGGUCUGUCUCACUUGCAUGGAUUGAGCAUAUAUGAGACCUCAAAGUCCAACUCCACAGUGACACACUUCCUCCAACAAGGUCCUACUUAUUCCAACAAAACUACACCUCCUAAUAGUGCCACUCCCUAGGAGCUUAUGGGGGCCAGUUACAUUCAAACUACGGAGUUCCACUCCCUGCCUCCCAAAAGCUUGUAAAAAUAUCAUAAUACAAAAUGCAUUUAGACCAACUUCAAAAGUUCCCAUAGUCUAUCACAGCAUCAACAAUGUUUCCAAGUCCAAGAUUCACCCUUCUGACGUUCAUGCAAUCUCCUAACAGUAAUCCCCUAUAAAAUCAACAUCAAAGAAUAGAUUACAUAAUUAAAACAUAUAAUGCCAUAGGAUAUACAUUAGCAUUCCAAAAUGUAGGGAAGGUGGUAGAGUGAGGAAACACCGGACAAAAGCAAGACCAAAACCAGAUGGGCAAACUUCCAAACUCUCUAUCUCCGUGUCCGAUGUCAAAAUGCUCUUCAGAUCUCUUAACUGCUUUUAGCUUUGUUGACGGCAACAUACUUCUUUUUCUUGGGCUGGUUUCACUGCCUGUUUGCAGCUUUCCUCAGCAGGUAUCCCAUUGUUAGGUGUGACAUCUUUUGUUCCACAUUGCUAUGCACAGUGCAGCAGUGUGGGUGCACUGAACAGGGGUGUGGACAUAUGCAUUGUGACAAUGUGACUUAGAUUCAUUUUGUAUAGACCCUGGAGUGGCUCUGCUGGACAGUAUGACAGCUUUAGUGUUUUGUUGUUGUUAACCUCCUGUGAUGGUUGAUCUUCCUCUCCCACUGGCUACAUUUGGAAUCACCUGGGAGCCACACCUCUGGGUGUGUCUGUGAGGCUGUCUCCAGAGAGGGUAAACUGAGCAGGGGAGACCCACCCUGAAUCUGCUCAGCACCAUCUCAUGAGCUAGGUUUUCAGACUGCUUCAAAAGUGAAGUGAAGUGGAUGCUGAGCACCAGGAUUCAUCUGCUUUCUGACCAAAGAGACAAUGUGAUCAGCCACUUCAGACACCUGCACCACUCCUUCCCCACCAGGAUGGACUAAACCAUUAAACAGAAGCCCAAAUAUACCAUCCUCACUCAAGUUCCUUUCUCAGAUAUUUGGUCAAAGAAUUGAGGAAAGUCACCAACAGCCCUCCAUAUUGAUUCCCAUGGCAGCUGCACCAGUUCCCAUUCUGAUCAGCAGAGGAAGAACUCACUUCCACCUCCUCCCUGAAGAUUUUGUUUCCUUAAUAUGACAGUUCUGACUAUGAUGAGAUAGUAUCACCAUACAAUUUUUAUUUAUAUUUCCAGUGGAUUGUGGUAUUUGCCCUUUUUUUCCAAAUGUUUAUGGAGUUUUUGUAAAUUAUAGUUGUAUUUCUUCAAUUCACUUGUCCAUUUAUUAAUUGGAAGAUUUUUUUGAUAUUCAAGUUUUGAAGUUCAUUACAGAGCCUAGAUAUUAAUCUGCGGACUGAUCUUCUCCCAUUUGCCAGGCUGUCUCUUUAUGCUGGGGAUUACUUCCUUGCUAUUGGAGCAUGAUUUUUAAUUUUUGGAGGCCUAUUUGUUGAGUUCUUGGAAUAUAUUGUGUACUGGAUUUCUUCUCAGAAUGUUCUUGCAUAUGCCCAUAUAUUGAGCUGUUUUCUGUAGCUUUUUCUCUAGUGGUUUCAGGUCUCCCCUUAGGGUCUUUGUCUAAUUUGAACUGCACUUUUGGUUGGAGGAGAGAUGAGAAUCUAAUUUCAUCCUCUAUGUGUGAAUAUCCAGAACCACUUACUCAAAAAAUAUCAUUUUCCCCAAUGUAUGUUUUUGGCAUCUUUGUCAAAAGUAUGUUGGGGCCUGGAAGGAUGGCUCAAUGGUUAGGAGAACUUUCUGCACUGACAUAGGAUACAGGUUUGCUUCCCAGUAUCCAAUCUGUCAACUCACAACCACCAGUAAGUAGCUCUAGCUCCAGGGGAUCCAAAGUCCUCUUCUGUCCUCCAAGGGCACUCCCAUUCACUGCCAUACACCUGGACACAGACAUAUAAAUAAAAAACAAAAAUCUUGUUACAGAUCAAGGUGGCUGCAAGCUGUGUGGCUUCAAUUCUGUGUCCUCUGUCUAUUCCAUUGGUCUACUUUUCUGUUUUCUGAUAGUACCAUGCUGUUCCUGCCACUUAGAACCAAGUCUUGAGAUCAAAUAUUCUGAUAACCCGCAGUGUUUUUUCCUGCUUUGGAUUAUUUUUUUCCCUAGGGUCUUUUUAGCCAUCAUAUGCAUUGUAGAUUUUUUUCUCUUGCUUUGUGAAGAAUAUUAUUGAAUUUUCAUAGGUAUUACCAAGAUCACUAGAUAGAUUUUGACAAAACAGUUUCUUUUAUUCAUGUCAAUCCAAAAGCAUGCGAAAUUUUCUGUUUUCUAAAACCUUAAUUUUUUCUUAUAUUUUUGGUUGUAGAGAUCAUGUACCUUCAAUGGUAGGGAUUAUUUAAAAAAAAAAACAAACUUUUAAAAGCGGAUGGGGUCCCCACCUCCUGAUUUCGACAGUAUCCAGAGUUUGAUUACCGCGACCCUCACAGCUGGAGCACGAAAUCUGGGGAAGGACACCAAGGUUAAACAGCACUCUAGACACCCAGUUUCAGUUCAUCAGGGAAGCAGCUCUCUUUAUUCAUACCAACAUGGGCUUAUAUACACCUCUAACAGCAGGGGUCAAGGAAUGGAGGCAAGCCAGACACUGUUUUCCAAACAGGAAAAACUACAGGGGAACUGAUCCCCAGCACCCUCCGGAACCCAACCGUACAUUUUUCACACAAACGACUUAACUGGGACAGGACAAAAAAGGGCAUUUAAAAUUAAGGCAGCAAACUUACUGCUGCCGACAUUUGAUUUUCAAAUAGAAUCAGGAAGGAUUCAAAUUUCAGGUAAUUGAAGUAAGUUGUGAAAAUUUAGGAGAAAGGAAUCUAGACAUGGUAGCUUUUAAGGCCAAAACUCAGGAGGUAGAGACAGGCAGAUCUCUGAGUUGAGGCCAUGCUGGACAGCAGAGAAGUCCUGUCUCAAAAGCAAACAAUCAAAAAGUUAGGAGAGAGGCUGAGGGAUGGCUCAGCAGUUCAGAGCACUGCCUGCCCUCCUGGAGGACCUGGGUUCCACUCCCAGCACCUACAUGAUGACUCAUAACUACCUAUAAGUGAAAGGCACGAUUCAACAUGAACGCAUACAGCUUGCUACUGUCUGUUACCCUAACACUAACCUCAACCUAAAUAUCCCUAAGGCCACCUAAGCAUGGCCUUUUCUAUACUGACAUGUACCUAGGCACUUGUAAGUGGGUCCUCUGUGUGCCCUUGUGUGGGUAUGAGGACAUGGGCACAGGGCCUUUUUGUUCCUUCACCUCUGGUGACAGAGGUAUGGGGUUUCUCAGGUAUAGGGAAUCUGUGAUCAUAUACAAAAGAUGACACACUAGGAAAUCAACACCAGAAUGAUCUACAGGGAGGAGGUUUUGAACAGUGGGAAGACCCUAAGAGAAAAUGACUUUUUUCCUGGAAUGCAUGUGGUAUAGAGGUAAUGGUUGGGAAACCUCUUCUGCCUUCUUGAAGUUGAGGGUCUGGCUGGAGCCAGGCUUCCCAGGUCAGGGUGUGGCAUGGGCAUAUGGACACCACUGUGGUGGUAUUUUACUUGUACUGAAAUGUGAUUUUAAUUGUAUGUUAAUAAAUAAAGUUGUCUGGGGGUCAGAGCUAUUAGAGCCAUAACAAGUGCAUGGCGGCGGUGGCGCACACCUUUAAGGACCUGGAUGGCGGUACAUUCAGGCAGUGACGAGGCAGUCACAUGUUUGGGUUUACAACCAAUGAGAAGGCAGAACAGCUAGACUGUAUAAAGACACACACAGGAAGUAGGUCCCCUUUUUCGGAGAGCUCUCUUGGCUGAAGAGGAUCCCUGAAUGAGGAAGGGUGAGGCUCUUAGCUCUGACCUCUUGGCUUUCUUCUCUGAA